rnacentral:lncRNA from 1 species
GCCAACACUAACGGCACUGGUGCCUCCCUGCCCCCUGGCUCGCUAUGGAGAGUAUACCAUAGGGGUGUGCUCAGGACAGUGUUUAGAGAAAAGCCAGUAAAAGCGAAGCUCUCCCUAAGCCUAUCUCCUGUCUGAGGUGAAUGCUCCCACUCCCUGCCGUGUCUCCUCCCACACUGGGGUCCCACCUUUUCUCUCCCCCAGAGUUUUUCAUAGUCUGUGGAGUCAGGUUUUAGGGUCCGUUAAGCUCCCUCUGAGCCCUCUUUUGCAGCCCCGCCAGCCUGGGGUUUGUUGAGAGAGAGGCGCCCCUUGCCGCCUGAGCGGGUCCUCUGGAAUGAGCAGGUGGAAGAGACUCUUCUUUCCCAUGCUGAUUUCAUCCCUUCCUUUUGUCUUCUCUGCAGUCAGACUGGUUCUUCAGUGACGAAGAGGACAAGGGAGAGAGAACCCCUGUGGGCGACAAGGAGCCUCAGGCAGUGCCCAACAUUGAGUACCUCCUGCCCAACAUUGGCAGGACAGUGCCCCCUGGCGACCCGGGGUCAGGUGAGCGCAGGGGCCUGGGAGUGGGGAGGCGGGAGGGUGGACACUGCAUUCCUGAGGGUCCCAGAUGCCUGGCCAGAUGCCCAGCUUCCCUGUGCCACCCCAGCGGGGCCCUCCCCUGCCAGCCACCAUGGAGAUGGGGCUGUUGGGGGCCUUCUCCCUCCCUGGGGAAGUCCAGCUUGCCCCGUGCCCACCUCCUGUCUGCGCAGCUGCCCCGCCCCGGGCAGGGUCGGAGCUUUGUUCCCCCUCUCUCACUGGUUUCUUUCCUCAGCCUUUAAUUUCUCGUGGGCUGGCUGUGUCCCUCUGGGCAUGUUCCUCUUUUUAAUUUUUCUUCCUUUUCUCCUUGCACCCCCGCCUCUCCCUCCUCC